UACGGAGGGGGCUAGCGUUGUUCGGAAUCACUGGGCGUAAAGCGCGCGUAGGCGGCUAGGUAAGUUAGAAGUGAAAGCCCGGAGCUUAACUCCGGAAAUGCUUUUAAAACUGCCUGGCUUGAGAAUGGUAGAGGAGAGUGGAAUUCCUAGUGUAGAGGUGAAAUUCGUAGAUAUUAGGAGGAACACCAGAGGCGAAGGCGGCUCUCUGGGCCAUUUCUGACGCUAAGGCGCGAAAGCGUGGGGAGCAAACAGG
rnacentral:rRNA from 1 species